AAUGAACGCUGGCGGCGCGCCUAAUACAUGCAAGUCGAGCGAGAAGACGUAGCAAUACGUUUGUAAAGCGGCGAACGGGUGAGGAAUACAUGGGUAACCUACCCUCGAGUGGGGAAGUAACUAGCCGAAAGGUUAGCUAAUACCGCGUACGCUCCUUGGACUUCGGUUCAGGGAGGAAAGACGAUACCGUGGGUAUCGCGCUCUUGGAUGGGCUCAUGUCCUAUCAGCUUGUUGGUGAGGUAACGGCUCACC
rnacentral:rRNA from 1 species